GACGAACGCUGGCGGCGUGCUUAACACAUGCAAGUCGAACGGAAAGGCCCUGCUUGCAGGGUGCUCGAGUGGCGAACGGGUGAGUAACACGUGGGUGAUCUGCCCCUUACUUUGGGAUAAGCCUGGGAAACUGGGUCUAAUACUGGAUAGGACCAUGCUGUAGGCGGUGUGGUGGAAAGAUUAGUUUCGGUAAGGGAUGAGCUCGCGGCGUAUCAGCUUGUUGGUGGGGUAAUGGCCUACCAAGGCGUCGACGGGUAGCCGGCCUGAGAGGGGGGACGGCCGCAAUAGGGCGUGGGAGAGGCGCCAGAGACUUCGGGGGGGCGCAGGAGGGGAGAAUAGUGCAUGGGGGGAGGGCGUGUGAUGCCGCAGCGCCGUGGGGAUGACGGCCUUCGGGUUGUAAACUCCUUUCAGCCAUGACGAAGCCCUUGUGGUGACGGUAGUGGUAGAAGAAGCACCGGCUAACUACGUG
rnacentral:rRNA from 1 species